UGUCCGAUAUGCUGUUAGAAAUGUCCCUUGGGAUUUUUUAUAUUGGUUAUUAUGCUUUUCAUUUAAAAAUUCAAAUUAUUAUUGUUCAAAUUUGCUAGGAGAUUUUAUAUUUAUUUUUGUUCUCUGAAAAUAUUUUCGAGCUUGUUUUUUAUUUCUUUAAAUACAUUUAAUCUUUGAUAAUUCUAGAGUCUGAAGUCUGAAAAUAUGUUUCUGCUGGGUGCUGUUUCAGCUGGUUUUUGAUCACAGCUCUAAAUUUCCAUGUGUGCCAGAUUUUCUCUGACUUAUAAUGGUCAUUACCCUGAAAGUAAUAUUUGUCAGCCUAUCCUGAGAUCUUGGAUGAAAGUACCUUCAAGAUACAUUUUUAUUUACAUCUGCCAGUGUCUGAAUACUGCUAGUUGUAAACUACUUUAAUCUAAGUUCAAGACUUAAGAGUCUUGGAAGACAGAAUAUGUAUACCCUGCUAAAAAUCUACAGGAUGUCCAAUAUCCAACCACAACUUCAUUUUUUUUUAGGGCACUCAUGGCGUAUGGAAGUUCCCAGGCUAGGGGGUCGAACUGGAGCUGGAGCUGCUGGCCUGCACCACAGCCACAGCAAUGCUGGAUGCUUAACCCACUGAGUGAGGCUGGGGAUCGAAACUACAUCCUCAUGGAUACCAGUCAGGUACGUUACUGCUGAGCCACAACAGGAACUCUGCCAAUCACAACUUUAUAAGACUUUUUUUCCUUUUCUGUUUUCCUUCUGUUCUGGAAAGUCAGACUCCCCAGCAAUUCUCUGGACUGGAGGGUGGGUAGGUUUAGUUUUGUUACAGCAUCACUUGGAGAGUAUAGUCCUUGGGGUUCCAGGUUACUGAAUUUUGGAGAUCCUAUGACUUCUCAUCUUAGGUACAUUCUGGUCCUUAAUUUCUGCCUUCCUCACCCCACAAGUUAUCUGAAUUUAUGUUCAAGUUUGUGUUGGCACAUGCUUCCAGAACAAAAAGCAAGUUCAAAAUUCUGCUCACCUCUCUGGGUUUAAGUUUGCUCUAGAAUUUGUCUUAACACUUCCCCAUUAUCUUGUCAGAUUUUCAGUGUUUUUAAGAUAAUUGUUUUAAUAUUUUAUCCAGAAUAUUUACCUGAUUUCUGUAUAAGAUAGCUGCUCUGAAUAAUUUAGGCUGCUAUUUCCUGAGAUUCCCUACUAUACAGUUUUAUUACCUGCAGCCUAGCAUCUAAGUAGUAUUAAAAUGCUUUAUAGAGGGAGUUAAAUCUUCUAUUAUUAAUUUUGCAAAGAAAGUAAUUCAGACGUUAGUCCUACUAUGAAAUACUUAGUAACUGAACCAAGAGAGCCUAUGGUUUCACUUAAAGCAUUCUGAUAAUUGAACUUUAUUAAAGGUGCUAACAAUUUCUAUAUUUCUUUAUUCUAGUCAUUCCAUUCGAUAUAUGUUUUUGAGCAUUAGACACUCAAAAUGUGGAGAUGAUAAUUUAUAAUCUGUAACCUUAAAAGAUAUCUUAACAAAAAUAGAUAAAAACUGUCAAUUAUAAUACACAUUCACACUACAGUGAAACAAAUACAUGGUACCUAGGAAGCAGAGAGAGAAAGCAAUUAACUCAGUGUGGUAUUUGAUAGAGGGUAGAGGCAGGCAGAGAAAUCUUCCUAUGUAGGGGAAGAUGUCUCUAUAGCAGAAGAUUAAUGGAUGGUUUGGGAAGCAAGUAGGUAGAGUGGAGAAUGAGUAUUUCAGGCAGAGCAAAAACCAUAAAGGCCUGGAGGAAUGAGAAACCUUAAGAGAGCUGAAAAUAAUUUGAUUUGACCAGAGUAUACUGUAUGUGUAUAAGCAAGGAAGAAGUUGAAUCUAGAAAGGUAAGAAUCAGAUUAACAUCUUUCAAUGCAGUGUUUAGAAUUUUAGAUUUUAUCAUGAGGAAGUAGGUAGGCAGCAAGGAUAAAUAAGAUUUAAAAUAAUUUUUCCAUUAAGUAGUACCACACGGCUGUUGCAGAUGUUUCGGAAAAAGAAAUCAGAUAUAGUUCCCAAACCUAAGUACAGACACAAUUAUAUGUGUUUAUAGCUCACUUUGAAAAACAUGUUCCAUGCAUAUUUUUAAAAGCUGGUUGAAAUUUGGGUGUGUCCAUUGUGGCUCAGUGGUCAUGAACCCGACUAGUAUCUAUGACCAUGUGGGUUAAGGAUCAAGUGUUGCCACGAGCUGCAGUGUAGGUUGCAGACACAGUUUGGAUCUGGCAUUGCUGUGGCAUAGGCCAGCAGCUGCGGCUCCAAAUUGGUCUCUAGCCUGGGAGCUUCUGUAUGUCACAGGUAUGGCCCUUUAGAAAAGAAAUAAAUAAAUUACGUAUAAAUAUAUGAUGUUUUAUUAUAUGACUAAUUUAUUAUAGAAUUAUCUUUGUUAUAGUGAGAUAUAGGAAGGUAUAUACAUUUUUAUUAUUUUUUAUUGAGGUACAGUUGAUGUACAAUAUUAUGUAAGUUUCAGGUAUGCAGUAGUGAUUCACAAUUUUUAAAGGUUGUAUUUCCUUUAUAGUUAUACAAUAUUGGCUGUGUUCCCUGUGUUGUACAUAUCCUUGUAGUUUAUCUAUUUUAUACAUGUAAUUUGUACCUCUUAAUCCCUACCAUAUCUUCCCCUACCCCCUUCCCUCUUCACACUGGUGACUACUAGUUUGUUCUCUAUACCUGUGAAUCUGCUUCAUUUUUGUCAUAGAGGGUAUUAUUUUAGAUGGCAGUAUAAUAGCUCAUCACAGAUAGAGAUUCUUCUGUGCCGAACGUUUGAUUCUAGUGUUUAUCAUAAAUAUCACAUCAAUGAACAAGUUUGUACAUUGAUCUUUGCUUGAGUUUCAGAUAAAUUCCUUAGGGAAGAUGCUUAGAAGACAUCUUGCUACAAGCUUGUGUUUUUUAAACUUUAAAAUUUUUCUUUAUUAUCAUUUAUUAUCUUAGGUUUUACAACGUAAUCCUUGACUUCUCAAAGCCUAAUUACUAAUUGGUACUUUGAGCUCUUCUUUGAUAAAACAAGGAAGGUAUAUGCAUUUUUAAUUCUCGCUCUUUCCUUAGUUAAUAAUGUUAUAUAAGGCCUUAGGUUAUUAUAAACUAUCAGAAUAAUUUCAAUGACUAUAUAUAUUCUACUAACAGUAUUAUUAUAAUUUGGGUUAUUUCCAGAUUUUAAAAACAUGACUGUAUAAAUUACAUUUACACUAAUCUUUCUGUGCAUUAAGAAUGAAAAAAUGUGUACUUAGGAAACCAAAGUACGUUGAUUGAAAAAAAAUUAUUUGAAUUAUCUUGCCUCAAAUCAUAUAAAGGUACCUAGGUAGAUUAUGCACCUCCAAAUAAUUAUAAUGUUUAUAUUUAUCAGUAAUAAAAAAUAGACUAUCAAAGGUCUCAUUCAGAAGAGCAAUAAAUGUAAACUAGAAAUGACUUUAGUGAGAAAUGUGAAGGGAAAGUGUGAAAUUUUGUUGAAAAAUAUUUUAAAAUUUGAUAUAAAUGCAGUGGUAUAAUUAAUGUAUUCUUAGAAUAUUAGAAAAGUGUGUUUCCCCCAAUUUAGUUGUCUUUGGCCAUAUGUCAAUAAAAAUUCUAAUGGGAUUAUUAUUUUAUUUUAACAUAGCAAAAUUUUUUCUAAAAUUAAGAAAACAAAAAUAUUUUUAAAAAUUAAAAAAGUUUAAGAUGUAAAAGUUCCAUUAUCAAAAAUAUCCAGGUUGGCCAAAAAAACACAUAAAAAGAUGUUCAACAUCACUCAUUAUUAGAGAAAUGCAAAUCAAAACCACUCUGAGGUACCACCUUACACCAGCUAGAAUGGCCAUCAUCAAAAAAUCUACAAACAAUAAGUGCUAGAGAGGGUGUGGAGAAAAAGGAACCCUAUUACACUGUUGGUGGGAAUGUAAAUUGGUGCUACCACUGUGGAAAGCAAUAUGGAGAGUCCUCAGAAAACUAAAAGUAGAACUAGCAUUUCAUCUAGCAAUCCUACUCCUGGGCAUCUAUCCAGAGAAAACCAUGACUUGAAAAGACACAUAUACUCCAAUGUUCAUUGCAGCACUAUGUGCAAUAGCCAAGACAUGGAAACAACCUAAAUGUCCAUAGACAGAGGAGUGGAUAAAGAAGAUGUGGUACAUGUACACAAUGGAAUAUUACUCAGCCAUUAAAAAGAAAGAAAUAAUGGCAUUUGUAGCAACAUGGAUGGACCUAGAAAUUGUCAUGGUAAGUGAAAUCGGUUAGACAGUGAGACACCAAUAUCAAAUGCUAUCUCUUACACGUGGAAUCUUAAGAAAAGGACAGUGAACUUCUUUGCAGAACAGAUACUGACUCACAGACUUAGAAAAACUUAUGGUUUCCAAAUGAGACAGGUUGAGGUGUGAGGGGAUGCACUGAGGGUCUGGGAUGGAAAUGCUGUAAAAUUUGAUUGUGAUGAUUGUUGUACACCUAUAAAUGUAAUAAAAUUCAUUAAUAAAAAAAUCCAGGGAAGAAAUUAUGAAGAUUUAAAUAGAGGAAAUUAAUUUAAUAUCUUAAGGGUAGACUUGAUAGGACUUAUUAAUGCAUGUUAGAAAUACAGUAAAAUAAUAGAUAAUAUCAAAGUUCAUGGAAAUGAGUGCAGUUUGGAAAUGUCAUUUAGGUAGAGGCAGACAGUAGUAAGUUGAAUUUGUUUAUCUGUGAGAGGUCUGAAUUCUAAAUAUAAACUUUUAGUCAUCUGCAUAAAGGUGAUCAUUGAAGCCUAGAGUGUGGAUGAAAUUAUCUAUGGAAAGUAUACAAAGUGGAGGGAGAAAAUUAGGGACAAGGUCAAAAUCUGUGGAUCACAUUUAUAGGUCUUAGAGAAUUGCAGUCUCUUAGUGACUUUAUUCGGAAGGCCAGAAGAUGGGGCAGAUGGUGGACUAGUGUCCCAAAGCGCCAUCUUACCCAAUUUAGAAUCAGGCUUAUUUCCUACUAAAGGGGGAGAGGAUGUGGCUGGUAGUUGCAUGUUUCUUGGUGCAGGAAUCCUUUGUUCUUGCAGCUGUCCAUAUAGAUCUGGUCACGAUGUUCCUAUAAAGCUUCAACAGUUGUUAUUUUCUUUUCUGCAACUUUUUAAAAAAUUGUUAUUUCCCCAAUACAAUUUUUUUUCUACUGUACAGCAUGGUGACCCAGUUACACAUACAUGUACAUAUUCUAUUCUCUCACAUUAUCAUGCUCCAUCAUAAGUGACUAGACAUAGUUCCCAGUGCUACACAGCAGGAUCUUAUUGCUAAUCCAUUCCAAAGGCAAUAGUUUGCAUCUAUUAACCCCAACCUCCCAACCCCCCCCACUUCCUCUCCCUCCCCCUUGGCAGCCACAAGUCUAUUCUCCAAGUCCAUGAUUUUCUUUUCUGUGGAAAUGUUCAUUUGUGCCGUAUGUUAGAUGCCAGAUAUAAAUGAUAUCAUAUGGUAUUUGUCUUUCUCUUUCUGACUUCACUCAGUGUGAGAGUCUCUAGUUCCAUCCAUGUUCGGCAACUUUUUAUUUCUAUGUGAAUGGAAAAGUAUUUUAUCUUUAAAGUCAGAGAAUUGAGAAUGUAGUAUCAUGUAUAUUCCAGGCUAUAGGCAACAUUCUUUUACAAAGAUGAAGAACCAGCUUGGCUAAGAACUGCCACAGAGCACUAGGGGUAGAGCUAAAGGAACAGAUCCAAUAUGGAAUCAGGUUUGUUCUUCUCUGUUACAAGUCCACUAUCUGAUGGAGAAGAACCAGUAGGAGAUGUAGAGGGCAGAAAUGGCAAGAGAUGCUUUACCCAAAUCAAAACAGGAAAAAUUCAAGAAAAAAAGCCUGGUUGCAGUAAUUGUCAGAGGUCACAGGAAAGUCAAGAUGAGGUUGUUAAACUGUUUGUUGGUCUGGUCAUUAUGAUGUCAUUGAAUACUUUGGGAGAAGUAGUUUCAGAAGUGUGAUUCUUUUAAAGGAGAAGCAGUGAAUUAAAGAAUGAAGGGAGUUAAGAAAACAGAGAUGGGAGUUCCCAUUGUGGCUCAGUGGUUAACAAAUCCGACUAGGAACCAUGAGGUUGCGGGUUCAAUCCCUGGCCUUGCUCAGUGGGUUAGGGAUCUGGCAUUGCUGUGGCUGUGGCGUAGGCUGGUGGCUACAGCUCUGAUUAGACCUCUAGCCUGGGAACCUCCAUAUGCCGCGGGAGCGGACCUAGAAAAGGC
ensembl:lncRNA